rnacentral:sRNA from 1 species
UUACAAUUGACUUUUUCCUCAUCCCGAACUAUCACUUCUCCAAUUCCCACCGACCAUCGGCCCCUGCCCUCCCUGCUGUCCUCCUAAAGGCGGACCCAUGACGCCAGUGCUGCUCAUACCUCCCAAUCCGAACACAGAGUUUAAGCCUUGACCCGCACUAUGAUUCCCUUUACCCAUUUGCUGCAUUGCCAGUUGCAUCUGCAUUUGCAUCGGCAUCUGAUUUUGACCUAGAGUGUUCAAAUUCCCACCUGCCCGAAGCUGGAGACCAUUGGUACCCCCCAUGAAUUGAUCUCUACUUUGUCCCAAAGCGCCGCCUCCAUUACCCUGCAAGUUACCGGGGAACCCUGGCAAAUUGCUUAAAGAAGAGUUACUUGACUGUAAUGCCGAAAGUUGAGCAGGGGUAAGGGACUGAAGCUGAGAAAGGAAUGAGGGAUUUAGACCUUGCGCUCCGGGAGGAACGGGCAUGGGAGGAGGGGGUUUAGGUAAACUUGGCGUUUGAGAAGGCGCAGGAGGUUGAGGGAUUUGAGAUGAAGGUUGGGCUUGCGAUUGCGCUGGAGAAGGAAGAGGGAGGGAAACAUUGGAGGUUGUACCAGGUGUUGACUGAGCACCGUUCACGGGCUGAGGAUUGCCUCUUGAUAUCGGACGAGUAUUUGUGGAAGGGGUGGAAGAAGGUAAACUUGGAGGAUUGAUGGUAGGCGUUGGUUGGGCAUUAGACGUUUCUGAUUCUGGGUUUUUGACUGAGCCAUUGGGGAUACUUGGUCCAGCCUCAGCGUUUGAUACCUUGCGCUUUUUGCUGGGCGGUGUCGGAGGCGGACUGCGUCCGUGAGUGUAGUAUUCGUCUGAUCUACGGUCGUAGAGGAGUUGUUGAGUGGAAAAGUCCCAUUGUGGUCCUCGGUCCUUGCGCGCCUGUACUAGUAAAGAGUUCCUGCCACCAAUGUCAAUGAGGGAUCAAGAUGUUGAUUUACCAACAAGAUAAACACACCAAUAGCUUGUGCUCUUUUUAAUAGCCUCUUUUUCCUUUUCUGUCAACUUCCUUUCACCUUUUGGCUUGGUCUCUUCUACCACAAUAGUAGAGACCUCUGGGAUCUCGCCGUUUGCCAACAUUUCUUGUUCCCUCGCAAUCUCUGCCAACCGCUUUUGUCUCCGCUUCCAAUGAAGAUGUGAUAGAUCAGGCAACUGGUAUUUCAACCUCGCCUCGAGCGUCGCAGGACUCGCCGUCGGUGUACCGAUAUUGGCUGGCGGCGUGCCGGGAUUUGCUACGGGUGUGGAUGUGCCGGCGUGCAAUACGGUCGCCGCAGAGAUGGGUGUCCCCGGCGUGCCCGCACCCGAGUCGUCCACGUGCGGUAUAGAAUGCUGUUGUUUCUCUCUCUCGUCCCUUUUCUCUGGAUCAUCAUCCCUAUCGCCAUGAUGCGGGCCCGGUGGGAGUUUGAGAUACCUAACGCGGUACUCUUCGAGCUGGUCGGGAGAUAAGAGGGACUGGAUGUCGAGUUUCUGGCCGUUCUUUGCGGCGAUACGCUGUGCUUCGAGGAGGACAUCUAGGGAUGGCGGCGGGGUUCUGGAU